GAGUGUAGCUUAAUGGUAAAGCACUUGCUUAGCAUGCUUGUGGCUCUGGGUUCAAGCCCCAGUACUC
rfam:Heterocephalus glaber contig85264, whole genome shotgun sequence.